UACGUAGGGGGCAAGCGUUGUCCGGAAUCAUUGGGCGUAAAGCGCGUGUAGGCGGCUCGGUAAGUCCGCUCUGAAAGUCCGGGGCUCAACCCCGGGAGGCGGGUGGAUACUGUCGAGCUCGAGUCCGGAAGAGGCGAGUGGAAUUCCUGGUGUAGCGGUGAAAUGUGCAGAUAUCAGGAGGAACACCGAUGGCGAAGGCAGCUCGCUGGGACGUGACUGACGCUGAGACGCGAAAGCGUGGGGAGCAAACAGG
rnacentral:rRNA from 1 species